GCCGGGGUGGCCGAGCGGACCAAGGCGGUGGACAUAUUAUCCACUGCCCCUUACGGGGUGCCCGGGUUCAAAUCCCGGCCCCGGCGCCA
rnacentral:tRNA from 1 species